rnacentral:misc_RNA from 1 species
AACGCACAUUGCGCCCCCUGGUAUUCCGGAGGGCAUGCCUGUUCGAGCGUCAUUUCCACCUUCAAGCCCCGCUUGGUGUUGGGCGCAUGUCCCGCUCCCGCGCGUGGACUCGCCUCAAAGAUAUCGGCGUCGAGUGGCCGGUUCGGAGCGUAGCAGAUCGUCGCUCCCGCCUGGCUGUCACGACUACCGUGAGCUCGCGAAUCUACGAUUUUGGACCUCGGAUCAGGCAGGGAUACCCGCUGAACUUAA